rfam:Triticum urartu cultivar G1812 contig285239, whole genome shotgun sequence.
GUAGUAUUACCUCCGUCCCAAAAUUCUUGUCUUACAUUUGUUUAGAUACGGAUAUAUCGUAUUUAGACAAAUUUAAGACAAGAAUUUUGGGACGGAGGGAGUACAAA